GACUGAUUGACAGAGAAGUGCGCCUCGUUUAAGGGGUUUUCCGGCACCCAUUUACGUUCGGAUAAGGGUAUCGCCCACAUCGACCUCCUCUUAACAAUAGAGAGACUAGCUUGGCACGGCGGAGGUGCCCCUUCGUAAGGGCUGCGAUAUUCCGUCCAGAUAACACAGUCACCUAGGACAGCAUCGCCUUUGAUUUCAAGUUCAGCAUGAAGCGGACAAACAGAGAGAAGAAUGCAGGUGACCAGCCCGAGAUGCCACGUGGGAAGGGAACACGAAUGCAAAUGGACUGCGCAGAAUCAAGAAGAGUGUGUGCAACUCAAAGCCGUUUCCAUUUUUAAAACACUGCUGCAUCUCUCCAAACGUAGUGCAUAAAUACACAAACACACACACAUCGCGAACUCCCAGACAUCUUUAUACACAAUCUAAUCUAUCCACUCCCUCCUUCUGUGUACACCUCAUCAUCCCACUCAGAACCGCACACAAUUUACCCGUCUUCUGGCUGUGUGUAUGUGUGUUUGUGUGUGUGUGUGUGCUAGAACAAGUGUCCCUUUAUAGCUGUGCGUUUCUUGUGAAAUAAAUAGUCUUGCGCUACCCACA